GCGCAUGCUGCCCUCCAUUCCCUGCCACAGAUGGGCCUGUAAGCGGUGGUGCGGCACAUGUAUCAAACUCAUCUUGCCUAGUUCUGUGAGCCUGAUCACUUCCUGACAAUGCAACACCAUAGCAGCAGCAUGAUCUGCAUGCUUUUCGGUAUAGACACCUUGGGACCACCAGAAUAAUCACCUGCGUUAGUACAAGUGCCAAGGGUGCUGGCUUCACCAAGAUCCGGCCAUUCUUCAGAGUCUUCAGCUGGUGCCGAUGGAGGUUCCCUCACAGUGAAUCUCUCUGCCAGCGCUUCAAUGGCCGCCUCCGUGAGGCCUGCGGAGUGCAGAUUCCAUAAUUACAUCUCCCAUCUGCCUUACUUGGGAUACUGUAGUCAUGAGCAUGCUCCCCUGAUUGCCGACCAGGAAAAUCCAGCUGUCCUGCAUGAUAAUCACAAUUGGGACGACAUCAAUUGGUCCUGUCCUCAAUGGCAUGCAAAGGAUAAGGAGCAUGAGGCUCACCCAGCUGCGCGAUCUCCUUCUUCAGGCCUGCGAUGACCUGUCCGGCCGCCUUUUGGCGGGCCUUGUCCCCGGCCGCCUUUGCGCGCGCCGCCUCGCCCCGAGCCGUCGCCCAAUCCUCCGCAAUC
rnacentral:lncRNA from 1 species